rnacentral:lncRNA from 1 species
UAUAUGAGGGUUUAAGAGCUGUGUAAUGAGAAUAGGAAUACAAUUUUUGUUUUGCUAAUGAAAGAAACAUUUAUUAAUAGCACAAACGGAAGUUAUUACAUGAUGGUAACUGAACGUAUACUCCUAUUUCCAUAAAGUUCUUCCUUUAGUUCAUUAAGGAUAAAGGAGGGUGGGUUUACAAAAGUCAAAAUAUUUUUUUCCAUGGCAGGAUCUCUGCUUUCCCAUAACAGGCCAGUUUAUCUGUUGUGGCAUUAGCUUUCCUAAAGAUUUGGCACGCCUGUAGGCUAUCCAGCUUCUCCAUUUGGUGCCUGAAAUCCAUUACCAUGUGUGAGAAAGCUAGAUUAUUAGAUGAUAAUAGUUGAAUCAAUACCUGUGAAUCAGUUUUAACAAUAAGUGGAACUAACUUGUUACUGAAUGUCAGCCUUAGAUCAUUGUAAAAGGCCAGUAUUUCCAUAUGAAUGGCAGAGUGUGUAUAGUUGAGAUUUGUGUUGGAAAUAUAAAAGAAAUGAUGGGUAAUUGAAAAGAAACUUUUGUAUUAAAUUGACUAGAAGACAAACAAUACACUACACAAUAUAAUAUUUUUAAUCUCACAAUCACUCUCUCAAAUUAUUUUGUAAUACAACUAAAACACACACAAACACUAUUUUUUUUUCACUCUAAGUGCUUCGGCACUCUAUUCUCCCUUUUUUACAAACUAACUUCUCUCUUGUUUUCUCUUUGUUUUUCUUCUCCUUGCUUCUCAUACAAUUUCA